GGUUCCGUAGUGUAGGGGUUUUCACGUUCCCUUCACACGGGGAAAGGUCUCCCGGGUUUGAUCCCGGGCGGAACCA